rnacentral:lncRNA from 1 species
GGGAGGGGCGCGCAGGCGCGGACCGCCUGGCGGUACUUUGAAGAAAGACUUCUCGACGCCGAGACACUGCUGGUGGUACUCGAUGUAGAUCACGUGGAUGGCAGGAGCAGUGGCAAAGGACUUUCAACUGACAGACAAGCAUGAGAUGGUGGUCAGCUACCUCCCACUCAGCCAUAUUGCAGCACAGAUGAUGGACAUCUGGGUACCCAUAAAGAUUGGGGCGCUCACAUACUUUGCUCAAGCAGAUGCUCUCAAGGGGUGACUGGCAACCAUGCCGUGAAGACACUCAAGCAAUUCUGUGGAGAAGGCCAUGGAAUGAGGAGCUGAGACUUCCUGCCAACAACCAGUCAUCUAGGUCAGAAAUUCAGACAGGGCACAUCUGGGACAGCUUGAAGUCAUGAUGUGCUGGAGCUGGCAUGUAUCAACCGCAUGAGUCAGAGCCAAUUGCAUGCAUCUCUUCUCAGCUUCACAUUCAGUGGUAUCACAUCUGUACCUUGAAAUCAGCCACAGUGGGAGUAUUUACACCACAGGAAUUGGCAAACACUGCAAAUCAGCGCCCCAUGCCACUCAAGAGCCAGUUAUUAAAUAUUUAUCAGAACAUAACUGCUUUAAAGAAUUAUUUAAAAUUCUCAACAAUAUAAAGGGACAUUUUAUUAUUAAAUCCUUAGGGAUGGUCCCACCAAAAUCCCAUAUACAGUAAUAUUAGCAGACUCCAAAUGUACUUAGAUUUGCUAAAAUUCUCAAAUGCAUUUUUUUUUUAGAGACAGAAUCUCACUCCAUUGCCCAGGCCCAGUGGUGUGAUCAUAGCUCAGUGUAGCCUUGAAUUCCUGGGCUCAAGCAAUCCUCCCACCUCAGCCUCCUGAGUAGCUAGAACUACAGGUGUGCACCACCAUGCGGGGCUUAUUAUUUUAUUUUUUUGUAGAGGUAGAGUUGUCCAGCCUGGUCUGGAACUCCUGGCCUCAAGUGAGCCUCCUGCCUCAGCCUCCAAAGUGUUGAGAUUGCAGCCAUGAACCAUGACAGCCAGCCUCAAAUGCUUUUCCAAUAACACACAGACACAAGCCCUGAAAUUUAUAUCAUUGAGUUACUGAAUACAUAUAUGUGCCUGGAUUUCCCUAGCAAAAAUUGGGAAGAAAACAUUUACUUUCCUUUUCCAGGCAGGGUGAGUUAAAUGGUAUGUCUGCAGCUGCGUUGCCAGGGGUCCGUGGCUUUUCAAAAGUGGGUGUCCCUACUGGCAAAAGUGGAUACGGGGGUCUGCAUGUUCCGUGGCAGCUUCCAGGAAGAAUGAGAAGUGGAUAAGAGUGGAUGGUGCAGGUCUAGAAGCAAGAAAGGUCUGAACUAAAUUGGUUGUCACUUGCUGUAUAAGUGAGCCAAAGACAGUGUCUUUCUAUCAGCCCUAUCUCAUUUAUUUCUUUACAGCAGGCAGGCAGGGACCUCUCAGCUCAAAGCCCACCAGCACCAAGCUCAAAUUCUCACACAAUCCAUUGCUAUAAAUAUUGCACAAAUAAGCAUAUGUUUAGUCAUUUAGAGCCCACCUGCUUUGCAUACCCCAUAAAAUUGCACCCAACAACACCUAUUAAUCACAGAGAAGAAAAAUCUUACAGCCAUAAGAAACCCCAAAUUAUUGUUGCCUUUCAGAGUUCUAUGAUGCAGACUCUCCCCACCUUGCUACUCAAUGACAUCACCUAGACACUUAAGCCCUGCCUCUAACUCUCCUCUGUCCCAGGAGUUCCUCUGGAAGGAGUCCUGCUGGAAGGGACAUUCCCCGCAUGCAAACCUAUCUAAGUGCCGUGCAGUAAAGCUUGUUAUGCAAUACUGCCAUCUUAUGGUCCUGUUUUGUUUUGUUUUUUUUGAGCUGCCCCAUCAGGAAUCAAUGAUGUCAUAAGUCAUGGCUCCUGAAAUUGCAAUUUUCUUGUGUGUGUGUGUGUGUGUGUGUAAGCAAAAUUAGGCCAGGCAUGGUGGCUCAC